ensembl:lncRNA
AUCUCUCUGGAUAGAGGUUGUGUUCCUUUCAAGCUGUCUCUGGUCCUCAGAUGAGGCAGUACUCAAUCAACUCAGAACAAGAUAUCAUCAGAAAUGAGCAUGUCUUCCAGGAGAUGAGAGAAGCACGAUGGGGCAACACUUCUUAUCUCCUCUGACAACACAGCUUCUAAUUUGUUGAGGACUGAAGCACCCUUUCAAGUCUUUUGUAUUAAAGAAAAAUAGCAAUCAAAGUGCUGAAGAAACCCUGUGAAGAUCAAGUUGCUGCUGAGGCUCUAAUUGGACAUGAUUGUUACUCCUGGAAAGUCUGGCAUUGGCAUAUCUCCCUAACUGCCUUAGGUGGCAAUGCCUUAGGUGCCCUGUGUGAUGUAUGCUCUGAUGAUUGGGAUAGCUGUGGGCCUUUUCCCAUCCUUCUGUGUCCCCCUCUGCUGUUUGCUUGCAAACUGCUUCAUGAGAGGAGGCAGAUCCCUGUCCUGAAAAGAGAGGGAAGUUUUUGCUUGCGUGUUACCAAAGUAACCAAGAAAGCAACCUCCUGACACUGCCGUGUGAGCACUCAGCUGGUUUAAUAGCCUUUUGGCAAGGUCCUUCCCACCAAAUGAUAUUACCAGAGCCCAUGAGCAGAGCCACUCUAAUGAGGAAAACUCCUGCCUUCUGCAACUGCUAAUGUCAUAAGUGGCAAUUUUAUGGCUAAAUCAGAAGACAAAAAAAAAGCAGAGAGAAGAAGAAAACCUCUCUGUUUUAAAAUGCAGCCAAAGAAAUCUGCAGGAAUCUACUGCUGCCAAUUAUUUUAACAGCUCCAACCUGUUUCCCCAGCAGUAGGAAAAAAAUAAAAAUACCCCUUCCAGCCCCUCCUUCCCUGUCCUUUGGGAAAAGAGGGGUUUGGAUUAGCUCUUCAGAAUGAAAACAAACACAUCGGGGCUUUUAUAGAGCCAAGCUGUUCCUGUGCCUUGAGAAUGAAGCGAGAAAAGAUCUAACAGGUGCUGCAUGAUUUUAUAUGGCAGCGUCGCAAGAGGCGCUGGUUCUCGCUUGUGAAAGAAGGCUUUCUUUGCCCUUCAGCUGGUGCCCUCCUCUAUCCCCGGAGCUGAUGGCUUUAGUUUAACGACCUGUGGUGGUUAUUUAAGCUCGAAGCCGUGCCAAAAGGCUAAGCUUGUGUCUGUCACGUUCCUUCCCCGCUGCCAAAGGCAGCUCCUGGAGUGAGGGACCCCCUUGACGGCUGGUGGGGCUCCUACUCUGCUCCAUGGGUUCUCCAGGGGAACCUGCUUACAGCUAGGGUCAGGACUAGAAAAUCAGUUUCACCAAACAACCUAGCUUUAUCAAUGUUCCAAGCUCAGAUCCAUGUGAAGGCAAUCCUACAAAACCCUGCCUUCUCAAAGGCCCAGGUGGGAUCCCCAUUUUGUGCCAUUAGAGAGCAAGAGCCUUGCAUCGUGCAGUAACAAAUGGUUCUGAAAUGCCUACAAGUCCUGAGCAACCUUGGGACAAGUAUUCCUCCUUGCUAAAAGGAAAAAGCCAUUGGAUGGAGAAAGAUUGACCAACAGCAAACUGGAAAAGUUUUCAAAAUCUGGUAACAUAUAGAUGUAAGCACUGACAUAGUUUCCAGGGAGUCCCCAUAUGAACCCUGCAGGCCCCAGCCACUCCUUGCAAGUUGUUAAGCAAGGAGUUACAGAGGUCUCCACAUCCUUUGGAGGAGAGGUGUAGCCUGUGACCGCAUCCCCGUGACACACAGCUACCAGGCAGGGGUGACGCAAUGGGGAUGGAGGAGGUCAAGUCAACUAUUUUAGAGGGUCUGCUGGGACAAAGACUUGAACUGAGCCACAUUUGGGGCUGGCCUUUUAUUGUCUUGUAGCUCUUGCCAUAAAAAUAACCUCCAAAUUAGUCCCAGCUGUUAGCAGGUUUCAUCAUUAAAAUUUUGUUUGGUAUCCGAGAGGAAGGAAAUGAGCCAGUUAAAGAACAAUAUUGCACUUUUUUUUUCUUUAUUCCCUCUCUUUCAUAAUCCCCACCCGUGUACCUCACCAUGUAGACCUGGGUGUCUCCAUUGGGGCUGAUAAACUACUGUCAGAUAAGACAGCAGACGUCAUUCUGCAUACUUUCAAGAUUUCUUGCAGGCAUCAUUGCCUUUCCCCCUUGACGUGUUGUCACACACACAAGCAAAGGAACAAAUGCACUGAGGGAAAGCUCAAGCUAUAAACAAACCUUCCAAGUAACAUUUUUAGUUGUCUGGAAAUGCAGCAAUACCACGCAAGGCUGGCUAUUGUGUGGAUCCACUAAGAAGACUAAUCGAGUGCAGAUCAGCAGCAGGGAACAUAUGCAAGCCACUCAACUAUGCAUCCAGAUAAAUAUGGAAGCCUUUUAGCACGUGGCUUUCUUGCAGCCCCAGGAUGGCCUUCAGCUGUGCCAUACUUGGGGAGGAACAUCCCUGCAGUGUGGAGAAAAUCCCCAGCUCUACUGCUCCAAGACCUGGAUGCCCCUCAAUGGCUGAUGUAUUGGCUGAACUGCAGCUUGAUCCAGUUCUUCGCACUGGAGUCCAAGUGACUUUGUUGCUAACUAAUCACCGGGGUGGGUAUUUUCUGGUAACAUGAAAGCAAAUUCCAUGGAAGUGACAGAACCAUCUUGCUAUGCUUGACAGCAAACUUUGUUUGGGAUCUUGUGACUGCUUUGUUGUUGUUUGUUGUUAUGAAAACAGAAAGCUUUUGUGGAAAUGCGUUGAUUUUUGGAUAGAAAAAUGGUUUUUACAUGAAAUGGCAGCUGUGGUCAAGGAAGGAGGGAUGAUGUGUUCAUUUGAAGCAGGGGCAUUCUGCCUCAG